AUUCAACUGUUGAGUCCCAAAUAAGGCGAAAUGUGCGUCCUAGAU
rnacentral:hammerhead_ribozyme from 1 species